rnacentral:rRNA from 1 species
UACGGAGGGAGCUAGCGUUAUUCGGAAUUACUGGGCGUAAAGCGCACGUAGGCGGCUUUGCAAGUUAGAGGUGAAAGCCUGGAGCUCAACUCCAGAACUGCCUUUAAAACUGCAUCGCUUGAAUCCAGGAGAGGUGAGUGGAAUUCCGAGUGUAGAGGUGAAAUUCGUAGAUAUUCGGAAGAACACCAGUGGCGAAGGCGGCUUCCUGGCCGACGACUGACGCUGAGACGCGAAAGCGUGGGGAGCGAACGGG